rnacentral:lncRNA from 1 species
CCAGAACAUCUCCAAUAACCACCUCGACACAGCGGGAGCCGAAGCCAUUGCCAGUUUGCUUUUAAAUAACACGUCCUACCUCUAUGCUCUUCAGCUCUCAGGAAACAACUUUGGAGAGGAGGCUGCACCAUACUUUGCCGAGGCAUUAAUGGGCAAUUACCAAGUGAAGGAGCUGGAUCUCAGCCACAAUGAGUUCUCUGAGAAGGGAGGACAGCUCCUGGGACAGAUGCUUGCCAGCAACACAACACUGGAGAUUCUGGACCUGAGCUGGAACUACCUGUGGAGGAAGGGGACAGAAGCACUGGGC